CUGGAGGAUGGCUGAGGAGGAGCAGUUAAACAGAUAUGAGCGAGCGAUCUACGCUGGCCUGAGUGGAAACCUCAAACCGCUGCUGGCGGUGUGUGAGUCGUGGGAGGACUGUGUGUGGGCGCACUUCAGAGUGAUGGUGGACUCACUGGUUGAAAAGGAGCUCAU